rnacentral:tRNA from 1 species
GGUCCUAUGGUGCAGUGGUUAGCAUGGUGCUCUUGUAAGUUGCCACUUUACUCCGACAGAUGAUUGCACAAUGAGAAUUUUCCUAACAAAUCAAACAGAUAGAUCCAGGGAUUCGUCCUUGUUUACUAUGAUAGUAAUGCACAGGUCGUGGGUUCGAACCCCACUAGGACCA